GUCAAUGUUGUUUUCACGUGCAAAUUUCCAGGCAGCAUCUUCAGCCAAGGUCUUUGAAAGCACAUACCACAUCUAAAAGCAUAAAUAGGAAAAGGAAAGAAGUCAAAAAGCAUGAUAGCUUAAUAUCCAUGAUAAAUCAUUACCCUUUGCUCACAUUGGAACAAAUACAAUAGCAUUGUCUUAGCCUUAGCUGCAUUCAAAAAGCAAAGAACAGAAAAGUUUUCAGUUGGAAGGGUAUUUUGCCUUGCCCCAUAAUCCACAUGCAUUCAUCGAAUGGUUUCUUUCAAGGAAUUGACUAUCUUAUAUAAGUAGACACUCUCUGAAAAAAAAAAUGUUUUCGGGUAAAUGGCAAAUACAUUUGCUUCCAGAUUGAAAUGCGGAUCAGAAAACCAAGUCUCAUCAACCACUACAUCCGGAGUUCGAGACUUUCCAUUAUAUGCAACAGCAGCAAUAGAGGAGGUUAGGACAACACGUUUCAGAGAUGGCGAGUUUGCACAUGAUUUGAGAACAUUUAGAGUUCCCUUCACUGCUGGAUCUAACAGUUCAGCCUGAAAUAUACAUAAAGAAAACUAUAAAUAUAUGAAAAGACAAAUGGAUGGAUUUACAAAUUAAAAGUAGAAGGGAUGAUGAACCUGCGGGUCCUCGACAUCAUAAUAGAAGGGAGAAGCAGUGUGAAAGACACCAUGACAGCCUUGAACAACAGAGUUAAAGGAACCUUCUUCAAGGAGAUUUGCCUUAAAUAGGUGCAGUCUCUCCCUAGCACCAUCAAGCCUAAGCAAGUGGCCAACUUUUUUUGGAUCAUCUGCAAUCAAUCAACCAUAAAUCAUAAUUUUAAUUGGGAAAUCAAAUAUAGCAAACAAGGAUUACAAAGAAAACAACAAUGAUGAAAUGAACAAGAAAGGAAAAAAUAAAAGGACACUGACUUGGAUCGCGAACAGUGGCCUUGACAGUGUUGCCGCGUUGGAGAAGAAAUUUGACGAUCCAUGAAGCGAUAUAACCAGAAGCACCAGUCACGCACACCACCUGUCCUGUACUACUGAUCAUUGUGCACCCCUCCCUUCCUUACUAAUCCAAUUCCAACACUACUUCUGCUAACUGGUGACCUCAAAGAGCACAAUAAGUAGUAUUAUGUUAUAUAUUAUAUUAUUUUAUCAUUAUCAUCUGUGUGCAGAGAAAAAUAUAUACAAUAUGAAUAAGGGAUAAUGGCUUCUUGAGUGCACGAGCAGCUAUGGCUUCUUGAAUGCACGAGUAGCUUCAGUCUACUCUAUCCAGUUUAACAACCUCGAGUCAUGGCUGUCAAUUCCAACUACAACACUACUCUAACAUGGUAUCGUGUGCUUUACACUGAGUGACUCCCAAUAUUCAAAUGUUGGGGAUGGGGAGAUUGGGGGAGCCAUAGAGAACUGAGUGCUCAGUACUACUGUAGUACUGAAGAUUUACCCCUCAAGAGAUCCAAACACCAUAUCCUAACCAAAAACCUUAAACAUUGUGUUUGUGUGUCACAUCUCUUAUGCCUUCCCCUCACUCAUUUAAAAUCAAUGUGGAACUCCAACUCACACUUUGAUUCACAACAUGAAUGACCGGACCAAAUCCACAUUAGUAAUGACACCAAGGUCCGUUAAUCGACUCAAAUGGUUCCAUAAUUUCCUUUUCCCUUUUAAUCUCUUAGGUAGUGUUUGGCUCAGCUUUUUUGGAGCUCGAAAGCUACUUUAAAGUUAAAGCUGAAAAUAAGAGCUUUAAAAAUAAAAAUAAAGCUAAAGUUGUUUGGAGGUUUGAAUAUCUUAAAAGCUAGUUUUAAGCUAAAAGCUGUGUUUUAUUUAAAAUUAACAUUAAGAACAUAUAAUAUCUGUGUAAUCUUGCAAAAUUAACAAUGAAAAAUAAAAUACUAAUAGAUCAAUAACGUGUGUCCCUUCACACACUCAUGUAAACAUUUUAUCAAAUGGUUGGCAUGCAAGCUUGCACAUAUAGGAGGCAGGCAAUCAACACUAGAAGUUGAUGCAUUUUGCAAUUUCAGAUACUAGAGAAAGCAUGAUAAUUCAAAAGAUUGUUGAGGUUGAUGUCAUGCAUCCUUCUUUUUACCUCAAUCAGCCAUCAAUCACCGCCCCUCCGCCAAGCGCAUUGCAGGGCAUCGUCCUUCAGCCAUCAAAUAGUGAGGUGGCUACUCUAUCUACAACCACUGACUGUGACAAGCUUUUCAUCCACCCAGGGCCACCUGCUCCGAGCAUCGGCCGCGGCAGCACCACAAGUUUCGCACCCAUUGCUUCGCUGCCAUAUAGAGCCACCAUGAGUGUCCCUCGCCGCUGGAACCAUGAUACGGCACCAGGUUGAGCCACAAGUGGUGUUGUUAAUGGGAGCAAAAGGAGUGUGAAACUAAGCAGAGCAAGGAAUCAUGAUGACACGCACUAAAACUGAGGUGCCAUGGCCUUGCCGGAGAUACCGUCCGGUGGCAAUGGAAUGGUGGAGAUUACAAUCCCAUAUAAAAGUGCCUUAGAUUUUUGUUCCACUGCUUAUACAUCUCCUUCGGUCGAGCACCCUUUACCUCUAUAAGUGGUUCUGUGGUUGGUAGCUUGGAAAAUAGGAAAUAGGGUGAGGCACAAGGGUGAUUCUGGGAUGAAUAAGUUGCAUCAAACAUUUUGAAGCAAGGUGAUUGAAUAGAAUUUAGUUAAUAUACAUUCCUAAGGUAAACAAUUUUACAAAGACAUUCAAUCACAUCGUCUAUUAAUCUUAUCUUUAACUUUGAUUUAAUUAUUAUAUGAGCUCAUUUGAAUACAAAUUUAUUGGAAUUAAUUGGAUCUUAUAGAUAAGAUCCAAUAAGUAUUCUUUGAUUUGCAUCCAAACAUAUUCGUCUCAGGAUGAAGAAACAUAAUUAGAUCUUUGUGUACAACUUUGCAUUUUCUAUGACUGAUUAUUAAACUCACUUUAAUUUCUAUUGCAAAAUAUAUCUGUAUCAGCAUCUCUGAAACUCAUACUAGUUUAAUUCAUCUGCUCGAUCCUGAGUACAAACCAAACCUAACUUAUUUCAGUGCUUAGUGCGAGUAUUGAUAACCCCUUAUUUAAGAGUUAAUUUCUUCACAAGCAUGGGCAUCAGAAACCAAGUCGCCAACUAAACAAGAUUCAGACUUAAAAGUUUACACAUCCAAGAGAUAUCACAAAUUAAAAGUUGGUAAACUUCUUCUCUUUUAGACUUUCGACGGUUUCCUUGAGGCUCACUUCCAGAGGAAUAUAUUCAAUUCCCAAGCUCUUUGCCUUUUCUUUAGAAACCUGAUAUGUUGGCACAUAUGGCUUAUCGUCUGCACACCUGAUAAUAUUGUUAACAAAGUGAAAAUGGUAUUAGAAAAAUCAAAACAUGAAGAACUUGGAUUAUUUAAAUUAUAUGAAUGUAAAACACAAAUUGACAGAACGGUAGUCAUGUAGGAUUCAUGUUAUAGUAACCAUUAACCUAUGAUUUUUGCAUAUGAAACAUUUGUAGGACCUACACAUGCUUAGUGGUUAUAAUUGGCCUUAUUUCAGAAAUACAUUUCCAAAUGAAAAGUUCAGCAUAAAUUAGCAUAACUAUAAAUAUACACUAGACAAAAAUAGUGGGAGAUGCAAGUCAAAUGAAUGGAUAAGGUAAUGAAAUGUAGCUGAUAAAUAUUUUCAGAUCAAUGGAGAAAUUCAACAGCAAGAAUAUUAUUUAAGAGAAGGAUGAUUGAACUUUUAAAUUGCCAUAGCCAGCAAGUGAUGUACUAGAAGCAUCAACAACCAAUAUGGUAGCAUACUUGAUGAGGGUUGAUGCCACAAAAAGGUGUGAAGAAAAAAGGUUAUACGGUCAAUGACCCAAAAAUCCUUAGAAAUAAAGCAUUUAAAAUGAAAGAUCUUCCUAGCCAUAGCCCAUAGCCAAAGAACAAGUGCCAGAAGGCAGCACUUAGAGAGUUAAUAAUUAUAAACAAAUGCUCCAACUCAUCCAUAUUGAAAGGCUGAAGAAGGGCCAAAGGCUGUUUUUGUCUGAGGUUCCAAGUAUAACAUGCUUUUAGGAAAAAAGAAAGGAAAAUGGUGGAAGUAUGAAGAACAGUAGCAGAGUGGUGGUAUUGAACAUGGGGUGACUGGGAUAGUUUUCUCACUGUCCGACAUCAUAGCAGCGAGGAAGUAGAAGAGAAAGAUUGAAAUUAGGAGAUGUAAAUAACAAUAAAAAUUCACAAUCAGAACUAUUAAAAAACAAAUGGGAGUAAGUUAGCAGCUCCCAUAAAUUUAAUAUAACUAACAAGCCUAUACUAAAGUGAAAUAUUUCAAUGAAAUGAUUGAAAUAAAGAGAGGGUUAUUUCCAAAUUCAUUCAUCAGACUCUCAAUCCUGAAUGUUUUCUUCACUUUCCCACUCAACUCCUUUUUCAAUAUGGAUUGAAUACGAAUACGAAUACCAACUCAAAUAUCAGUGCUGACUCCUUUCAUUUUGCACUGAAAUGAGCUUUCAAACAGAUAAGUAAAGCAUUGAAAGAAUGGGUAUAGAAGAGGAUGAUUUGCAUUAUAAUAUAUAAAUUGUAUGCAUUCUAGAAGCUAUCGAAAUUGUUAAUCUUACUUCUCUGGAAGUUGUAAUGUCGGGUACAGUUCACGUAAAAUCUUCACGAUUUCUGAGUGGUGCACCACUCUCUCAACUAAACAAUGUCUUCCACUAGCUGAAGCAAUCUCAUACGCCUGAAUAUGGGCAUUUGCAACAUCUUUCACAUUGACCCAUCCAAAAGAAGCAUUUGCAAAUGUUUGUGCACCUGUAUCAAGGCAGUGAAGAGAUUAUUCUAUUAUCAUAGGACAAAGGCUGCCUUGGAAGUUUAUCUUGUAGCAUAUGCCCUUAUAUGAGUGUUUGAGUAAGCUUACGAAAAUAGUGUAUGACCAACUCACAAUAUCUUUUGAGCUUACUUUCAUAAACUAACAUUAACUUAUGAAUAAACACUUAAACCUACCAAUAAGUUAUUAUGAAUUAGCUUAUUUCAUUAAGCUUUUCAAAUAAACUUAUGAAUUAGGUUAAUUAGGUUGUAUACUCAAACGAACCCAAAAUCUUGUCAUGUGGAAAACAAAUAUAUUUGAAGCAUAUCGCAACUGCUAAUAUCCAUUAAAUAAACGAAUAUGUAAGUAAAUAACCAAUGACACAUUAGAGAAAAAGAAGAUGACAUAUUUUGAAAAAUUAAAAGAAAAAGGACUAGACAAUAAUCAAUCUACAAAUAAAAAGGGAAUUUAAAAAGCUGAUAUCCGAAUAUGUAACUGUUCUCAUCAUAACCCUUAUUCAAUAUUCAAUUUUAACUCCCAUUUUGAUAUUUUCUAUUUGCGCCUUUUCAUAUUGCUGGGUCCAGAAAAAGCAGUUUAGUAGAAAAACAAUAUGUUAUCCAGAAGCACAGAAAGGAGAAAGCAGAUAAUAGAAUUUCAGUACAGCAUAACAUGUAAAUAGUAAUUACCAUUAACAAAAUUCAAAACUGAAGCAGCGCUUGUGUUAAGAACUGGUUGCAAGAGAGGCCCGAUGACCAUUGCUGGGUUAAUAGUAACCAUGUCAAUGUUGUUUUCACGUACAAAUUUCCAGGCAGCCUCUUCAGCCAAGGUCUUUGAAAGCACAUACCACAUCUGAAAGCAUAAAUACGAAAAGGAAAGAAGUCAAAGAGCAUGGUAACAUAAUAUACAUGGUAAACCAUUACCCUUUGCGGAAAUUGGAACAAAUGCAUUAGCAUUAAAGCUCAACAGCAAUUAUCUAGUGUGCAUAUAAGAUUGAAUUGAAACGCUAAGAUGUCUCAAUUAAUUAGGAAAAACAAGUGAAGUUUAAAAACUUUACUUGACCAUCGGAUUAUCAGAAUUUCAGGAGCUGAAACUCAAAAUUACAACAAACUCAAUUUAGGCUUAUGAAUCAGUAUCUAGUUUUCACAGAACGGACGGAAGAAAUUAGUUUGAGAACUGAGAUAGUAUUAAACUUGAAAUCACAUCAUCUCCUUGCUUUAUUGAAUGCAAUGCUAGAAGCAUGCCAGAAACUCGAAAAUGAUGUCCUUUGGAAAUCUUUCCUUGAGGUCUUCCUUCAAAUCCUAGGCAUUCUCUACGUAGAUGAUGCUUUGAGAUAUCUGGCUGGACAAAGUUCUGGUGAUCCAAGAAACCACCAUGGUAUUGCACCUCCCCCACGUUCUGUAGCAUGUCAUUCAUGGAAGGGGCAGUGAUAGAUGUUGAAAACUCAGAACUCUGUAAAUCUAAUUCUCAUUCAUUUCAAAGGUUAUGAUCCAAUAGACCAUAGUUCAGUACUUAUAGAAGAAUAUAAAGCUUGAUGAACAAGCUAACAAUUCUAACAAACUCUAACAACUAACUCUUAAUUCUGUUAUGCCAGC
rnacentral:lncRNA from 1 species